UACGGCGAGUGAGAGGGAAGAGCCCAAGAUUGAAAGCUGGCGUCUUCGGCGUCCGCAUUGUAAUCUCAAGAAGUGUUUUCCGCUUCGGACCAAGCCUAAGUCCCCUGGAAAGGGGCAUCAUAGAGGGUGAUAAUCCCGUACAUGGCUUGGAGCGCCCGAGGCUUUGUGAUACGCUUUCUAAGAGUCGAGUUGUUUGGGAAUGCAGCUCAAAAUGGGUGGUAAAUGCCAUCUAAGGCUAAAUAUUGGGGAGAGACCGAUAGCGAACAAGUACAGUGAUGGAAAGAUGAAAAGAACUUUGAAAAGAGAGUUAAACAGUACGUGAAAUUGCCAAAAGGGAAGGGUAGGAGGUCAGAGAUGCGGCCUGGGAUUCAGCCUUGCUUUUGCCUGGUGUUUUUCCCAGAUUGCAGGCCAACGUCGGUUUUGGGCACUGGAGAAGGGUAGGAGGAACGUGGCACCCCUCGGGGUGUGUUAUAGCCUCCUACUGGAUACAGCGACCGAGACCGAGGACAGCAGCGUACUCGCAAGAGCGGGCCUUCGGGCACCUUUACGCUUAGGGCGUUGGCAUAAUGGCCCUCUACCACCCGUCUUGA
rnacentral:rRNA from 1 species